rnacentral:rRNA from 1 species
CCACAUCGGGACUGAGACNCGGCCCGAACUCCUACGGGAGGCAGCAGUAGGGAAUUUUUCACAAUGGGCGAAAGCCUGAUGGAGCAAUGCCGCGUGACUGAAGACGGUCUUCGGAUUGUAAAGGUCUGUUGUAAGGGAAGAACAGUAAGUAUAGGAAAUGAUACUUAUUUGACGGUACCUUAUCAGAAAGCCACGGCUAACUAUGUGCCAGCAGCCGCGGUAAUACAUAGGUGGCAAGCGUUAUCCGGAUUUAUUGGGCGUAAAGCGUGCGCAGACGGUUUAACAAGUUUAGGGUCAAAUCCUGGAGCUCAACUCCAGUUCGCCUUGAAAACUGUUAAGCUAGAGUGUAAGAGAGGUCGAUGGAAUUCCAUGUGUAGCGGUGAAAUGCGUAGAUAUAUGGAGGAACACCAGUGGCGAAGGCGGUCGACUGGCCUAUCACUGACGUUUAGGCACGAAAGCGUAGGGAGCAAAUAGGAUUAGAUACCCUAGUAGUCUACGCCGUAAACGAUGAGUACUAAGUGUCGGACUAAGUUCGGUGCUGCAGCUAACGCAUUAAGUACUCCGCCUGAGUAGUAUGCUCGCAAGAGUGAAACUCAAAGGAAUUGACGGGGACCCGCACAAGCGGUGGAGCAUGUGGUUUAAUUCGAAGCAACGCGAAGAACCUUACCAAGGCUUGACAUCCAGUGCAAAGCUGUAGAAAUACAGUGGAGGUUAACAUUGAGACAGGUGGUGCAUGGUUGUCGUCAGCUCGUGCCGUGAGGUGUUUGGUUAAGUCCAGUAACGAGCGCAACCCUUGCCGUUAGUUACUCUAUUAAGUUGAGAUACUCUAACGGGACUGCUAGUGUAAGCUAGAGGAAGGUGGGGAUGACGUCAAAUCAGCAUGCCCCUUAUGUCUUGGGCUACACACGUGCUACAAUGGUUGGUACAAACAGUUGCGAUCUCGUAAGAGGGAGCUAAUCUGAAAAAGCCGAUCUCAGUUCGGAUUGAGGGCUGCAACUCGCCCUCAUGAAGCCGGAAUCGCUAGUAAUCGCGAAUCAGCAAUGUCGCGGUGAAUACGUUCUCGGGUCUUGUACACACCGCCCGUC